rnacentral:rRNA from 1 species
AGAGUUUGAUCCUGGCUCAGGAUGAACGCUAGCGACAGGCUUAACACAUGCAAGUCGAGGGGCAGCGGGGAGUAGCAAUACUUCGCCGGCGACCGGCGCACGGGUGAGUAACACGUGUGCAACCAACCCCGUACCGGGAGAUAACCCGCGGAAACGUGGACUAACAUCCCAUGAUACUCGAGAGCCGCAUGGCUCUCGAUUUAAAAUUCCGGUGGUACGGGACGGGCACGCGCGACAUUAGGUAGUUGGCGGGGUAAUGGCCCACCAAGCCGACGAUGUCUAGGGGUUCUGAGAGGAAGGUCCCCCACACUGGAACUGAGACACGGUCCAGACUCCUACGGGAGGCAGCAGUGAGGAAUAUUGGUCAAUGGGCGAGAGCCUGAACCAGCCAAGUCGCGUGAGGGAAGAAUGGUCUAUGGCCUGUAAACCUCUUUUGUCAGGGAAGAAUAAGGAUGACGAGUCAUUCGAUGCCAGUACUUGACGAAUAAGCAUCGGCUAACUCCGUGCCAGCAGCCGCGGUAAUACGGGGGAUGCGAGCGUUAUCCGGAUUUAUUGGGUUUAAAGGGCGCGUAGGCGGGACGUCAAGUCAGCGGUAAAAGACUGCAGCUAAACUGUAGCACGCCGUUGAAACUGGCGCCCUGGAGACGAGACGAGGGAGGCGGAACAAGUGAAGUAGCGGUGAAAUGCAUAGAUAUCACUUGGAACCCCGAUAGCGAAGGCAGCUUCCCAGGCUCGUUCUGACGCUGAUGCGCGAGAGCGUGGGUAGCGAACAGGAUUAGAUACCCUGGUAGUCCACGCCGUAAACGAUGCUCACUGGAUCUUGGCGAUACACGGCCAGGGUUCAAGCGAAAGUAUUAAGUGAGCCACC